rnacentral:rRNA from 1 species
AAAAUGGUACCGUAACUUCGGGAGAAGGUACGACUCUUGAUGGUGAAGUCCCUUGCGGAUGGAGCUGACGAGAGUCGCAGAUACCAGGUGGCUGCAACUGUUUAUUAAAAACACAGCACUAGUGCAAAAUCGUAAGAUGACGUAUACGGUGUGACGCCUGCCCGGUGCCGGAAGGUUAAUUGAUGGGGUUAGACUUCGGUCGAAGCUCUUGAUCGAAGCCCCGGUAAACGGCG